rnacentral:rRNA from 1 species
UAAAAACCCCGACUUCGGAAGGGGUGUAUUUAUUAGAUACAAAACCAAUGCCCUUCGGGGCUCUUUGGUGAUUCAUGAUAACUAUACGAAUCGCACGGCCUUGCGCCGGCGAUGGUUCAUUCAAAUUUCUUCCCUAUCAACUUUCGAUGUUUGGGUAUUGGCCAAACAUGGUUGCAACGGGUAACGGAGGGUUAGGGCUCGACCCCGGAGAAGGAGCCUGAGAAACGGCUACUACAUCCAAGGAAGGCAGCAGGCGCGCAAAUUACCCAAUCCCGACUCGGGGAGGUAGUGACAAUAAAUACUGAUACAGGGCCCUUUCGGGCCUUGUAAUUGGAAUGAGUACAAUUUAAAUCCCUUAACGAGGAACAAUUGGAGGGCAAGUCUGGUGCCAGCCGCCGCGGUAAUUCCAGCUCCAAUAGCGUAUAUUAAAGUUGUUGUGGUUAAAAAGCUCGUAGUUGAACCUUGGGCCUGGCUGGCCGGUCCGCCUCACCGCGUGCACUGGCCCGGCCGGGCCUUUCCCUCUGUGGAACCCCAUACCCUUCACUGGGCGUGGCGGGGAAACAGGACAUUUACUUU